GCCAGCGUAGCUCAGCGGUAGAGCGGUUGAUUUGUAAUCAGCUGGUCGGGGGUUCAAUUCCCUCCGCUGGCUCCA
rnacentral:tRNA from 1 species